GUCAACGACAGCGAUCGUGGCACGCUCGAGACACACAUUAAACGUGGUUGGCAAUGCAUUUUAUCGUGGUAGCGAAACGGUUUUGGCGCAACCUUUGAAAUGCAACUUCAGGGGUAAAUUUUACCCCUAUAAUGUCUACGUGCAGAUCACUCGUGCGUCCUCUCUUAAAAUCACGACAAGCUACAAUCAUUUCACCGACACCUCCAUCACGUCCAUCGGGGUAGAAACUGGAAACAAAGUCGACACGCACGUCGGCUUUGUUCAGACCGAAUUGGUCCUUAAACGCGUAGAGCCGAACGACGGCGUUAUUUUUAUUUUAUGUUAUUCAUUUUAUUUUAACAACUCCAGGAUAUCGAUGAAUCAAAUAAAAGUACCGACACCCGGUCAGCUCCGGUAGAAACGAAAUACCUUGGAAAUCGCACUGGUUACUCGGACACGACGAAAUCACCAUUUCCCCUUCUUACGGGCUCCGUUGUUAACGAUGUAUAUCACGUUAAAGUAACUACGGUAUCUGAACGAAACGCUGUCACGUUGAAACAAGCCUCGGCUACCUCUCACACGGCUGGACACAACGACAUGUUUGGCGAGCUGGUCUUGGCUAUUUAAACACCAGCGAAGUCCACAAAGCGCGGCUUACUUACACGUGUGGGAAAUGAGUCCGAAAAGGGAAGCCCGGCUGCCAGGAAACUUCGACGGGGAAGCUGGCGUCGUCCGAGGCGGCGAGAUUCCAGCAGGCUCCUCUACCAUAGCCCUCAGUCAAGCGACCAUGUUGUCCUGCCCGCUGCUGCCUUCUUCGCAUCCGGGCGCUUAUGGGAGCGGUGGGCUGGAGCUGCACCGUCUACGGACGGGAAUGCGGAGUGGAAGCGACGCGGCUGCGUGCCUUAACGCUUGGGAAAUGGGGAUAUAAACUAUUGUUAUGGACGGGUGGGAAGUUUUGUAGCAGCUACAGCCAGUUCUUACCCUUGUUAUGUAGCAACGUGUCGGUCCCCCCCCCCCCAUAUUGCAGCUUUCGAAUAUUACACUGUAAACUUGUCAUUUUUGUUCAAGGAUUACAUUGUUUUUUUACGUGAUUCGUGUACUGGUAAUGUUAAACACACUGGUCCCACUUGGCGUCUUGGCCGUGAUGAACUGGUGUACGUGGACACAUUACUGUAGGCCUAAAUCUGACCGUGUCCGACAUUGCGUGUUAUGUAACAUUACAGACGUCCGCAUGUACCCACCGUGGGCUCACGUUUACAAAUACACAUCAUACAUGGGCUGAUUUACACUCGUAAUCACUGAUUAUGAUUUUAAACAUAUAUACGAAUAUUCAGAACCUAAAUUAACGAGGUCAUUUAGAAGUUCAGUUGUUUUUUUCUCCGUACUUUUGGAAAUGUUAUUUUUAUGCGAUUAAAAAGGAUUUCAUUUGCCUAAUUUUGUUUUAUUCUAACCUGCUAAACAUACCUACUGAUAUACAGCCAUCAGCUACAUUUCUCUGUGAUAAUUUUCAUCUUAUUUUUAAGGUGAUGAAAGCUAACCAUCUUUAUGAAAAACUCCCUGUACCUACAUUUACGGCCCUCUUUAUUGGGUACGCAUGGCCUUGUAAGUGUACAAGAACAGAGUGUAGCCCAACUCUUGGUAUGUAGAAUUUGUCAGCUGCCUAGAUGACAUGGUAGUGGCAUGACUGUAGAUGUUGAGCUGGUACAAGUUUGUCACACAGCAGUGUUGCUGCAUUUUCACACGUGUCAGUUGAGAGUGGUCCACCACCCAAAAAUAUCCCAUCAACGUCACUCCUUUGAUCAGAAACUGACCACUUAGGUGUGUGAACACAAUCUCCACAACAACCUACUGACUAUAGACUACAAACUCUUUCUAAUAUAAGAGGUGUUUGAGUGGCUGGUGGGUGUAUAUUAAAUAAUUUUUUUUAACUGCUUAUUUUAGGAGUAGAGAUGUGAGCUACUCAUACCUCUGCUCCUCAAAUAAGCAAAAAAAAAAAAAAAAA